AAUAGAUACCCGGGUAGUCCACGCCGUAAACGAUGAGAACUAGGUGUUGGGACGGUUAAUCGUCUCAUUGCCGCAGCUAACGCAUUAAGUUCUCCGCCUGGGGAGUACGGUCGCAAGAUUAAAACUCAAAGGAAUUGACGGGGGCCCGCACAAGCGGUGGAGUAUAUGGUUUAAUUCGACGCAACGCGAAGAACCUUACCUGGUCUUGACAUCCCGGGAAUUUUCUGGAAACAGGAGAGUGCCUCGCAAGAGGAGCCUGGUGACAGGUGCUGCACGGCUGUCGUCAGCUCGUGUCGUGAGAUGUUGGGUUAAGUCCAUCAACGAGCGCAACCCUUAUGGCUAGUUGGAUUUUUCUAGUCAGACCGCCCCGGGUAACGGGGAGGAAGGAGGGGAUGACGUCAGGUCAGUAUUGCCCUUACGUCUGGGGCUACAAACACGCUACAAUGGCCGGUACAAAGGGCUGCCAAGUCGCGAGACGGAGCAAAUCCCAUCAAAGCCGGUCUCAGUUCGGAUUGUAGGCUGAAACUCGCCUGCAUGAAG
rnacentral:rRNA from 1 species